UGUCUCUGGUUAGACCCACAUCCAAUGAUACAGAGAAAGAGACAAUGGACAAUGACAGGAGCAUGUCUCCAUAGGAUUACCAGGACCAGAAAUCAAAUCCUGAUCAGAAACUAUCACAGUGCAAAAAACAAACUCUUCAUCAUGGAUUAUGUGCAUUUAAGCAUGACAAGAAGAAUCAUUUCUGAACUGCAUUCAGCUGCAGAAGUAGCUCAGGAUGGAGACACAAGACAGCACACAAACAAAUUUUCAGGCAGCUACUGGUAAUUUUCAAUGAGCAACCACCCAACAAAAACAGCAAAAGCAAGGAGAUGAACAAUCCAUUGCCUGAAGAUUAUUCACCAAAAAUAUUUGAAGAUGGUAACCAAAUGAUCAAGUGGAAUUAAUCUGUGGGGGAAUUAUUUUGUUUUCUUAGAGGUGGAAGUGUUAUCUAAUCACAGCAGUGAAUCUGAUCGACUUCCCCUGACGUAGCUUUUCUCUGGGUUGCAGUAAUCCCGAAAUAAAAAACUGGAAAUACAAAGGAGAAGCAAGGAAGAUAAAAGAACACCCUAUCUGCCAUAAGCCAAGAUCCAAUAGAAGCAGAAAGAUACAUCUUAAAUUUUGUCCUUAAUUUCCUGUCCAAGAUAAAAAGACUCUGCUACAUACC